rnacentral:rRNA from 1 species
GACGAACGCUGGCGGCGUGCUUAACACAUGCAAGUCGAGCGGUAAGGCCCUUUCGGGGUACACGAGCGGCGAACGGGUGAGUAACACGUGGGUGACCUGCCCUUAGCUCUGGGAUAAGCCUGGGAAACUGGGUCUAAUACCGGAUAUGACUCCAUAACGCAUGUUGUGGGGUGGAAAGCCUUGUGCGGCUAGGGAUGGGCCCGCGGCCUAUCAGCUUGUUGGUGGGGUGAUGGCCACCAAGGCGACGACGGGUAGCCGGCCUGAGAGGGC